rnacentral:lncRNA from 1 species
CCUGGAAGUUAUUUGUAUAUAUCACUAACAGCAAAGCUCAGAACUGGAGAAUGUGAGGAGGGAGAGAAGAGCCUGGAUUGCAGAUGCCAAGAAAUAUGGUAACAGCAGCAUUUCUCACAAACUUUGCCUGUUUUGUGAAGUGUUGGCCGUGACACCUGAUUAUGCGACUGCCCACUGUGUAGGAGUUGCAAGGUCAGCAUGAACUAAACAAAGGAAAACCGUGGUCUCACCCAAUAUACAGCCCACAGCAAACACAGAGUGUGCAGGGAGUAAUGAGUUUGCAUGAUAAGGUAACCGUCUUGCUUGCCUGAAACAGGUCUUCCAAAAUCCAUUGUUUGUAACUAUCAAAUCUCAUCCUUACUCACCAUUUUUUUUCCCUCCUCCCUUUAGAGUAUAAUCGUUGUUUUGGGUGCUGUUGUCCUUGAAAACUGCUUUAGAAGCUUUUCCCAUCAGGUAGCAUCAGCUGUGAGUGAGAGCAGCCUCCUUAGAAACUGCUAUUUUAUCCUGCUCAACUGCAGACAUAGGCUCUGAGCCUUCAGUACCUGUUCUCCAACUUCAGACAUGACAG